rnacentral:rRNA from 1 species
AAACGACUCUCGGCAACGGAUAUCUCGGCUCACGCAUCGAUGAAGAACGUAGCAAAAUGCGAUACUUGGUGUGAAUUGCAGAAUCCCGUGAACCAUCGAGUUUUUGAACGCAAGUUGCGGCCGAAGCCUUUUGGUUGAGGGCACGUCUGCCUGGGCGUCACGC